rnacentral:rRNA from 1 species
UAGUCCACGCCGUAAACGAUGAUUACUCGUUGUUGGCGAUACACAGUCAGUGACUAAGCGAAAGCGAUAAGUAAUCCACCUGGGGAGUACGACCGCAAGGUUGAAACUCAAAGGAAUUGACGGGGGCCCGCACAAGCGGUGGAGCAUGUGGUUUAAUUCGAUGAUACGCGAGGAACCUUACCUGGGCUCAAAUGCACGAUGACAGUCUCUGAAAGGGGAUUUUCUUCGGACAUUGUGCAAGGUGCUGCAUGGUUGUCGUCAGCUCGUGCCGUGAGGUGUCGGGUUAAGUCCCAUAACGAGCGCAACCCCUAUCAUUAGUUGCCAUCAGGUCAAGCUGGGGACUCUAGUGAAACUGCCUACGCAAGUAGAGAGGAAGGUGGGGAUGACGUCAAAUCAGCACGGCCCUUACGUCCAGGGCUGCACACGUGCUACAAUGGCCGUGACAAAGAGUUGCUACUUUGUGAAAACAGCUAAAUCUCAUAAACGCGGCCUCAGUUCGGA